UACGUAGGGAGCAAGCGUUAUCCGGAUUUACUGGGUGUAAAGGGCGUGUAGGCGGGCGUGCAAGUCAGAAGUGAAAUCUGGUGGCUUAACCACCAAACUGCUUUUGAAACUGCGGGUCUUGAGUGAUGGAGAGGCAGGCGGAAUUCCCAGUGUAGCGGUGAAAUGCAUAGAUAUUGGGAGGAACACCAGUGGCGAAGGCGGCCUGCUGGACAUUAACUGACGCUGAGGCGCGAAAGCGUGGGGAGCAAACAGG
rnacentral:rRNA from 1 species